rnacentral:rRNA from 1 species
AUGAGGCGCACCAGAUCAGCAUGCCGCGUGAGUUAGAAGGCCUUCGGGUUGUAAAGCUCUUUUGUCAGGGAAGAAACGGCGGAGGCUAAUACCUUCUGCUAAUGACGGUACCUGAAGAAUAAGCACCGGCUAACUACGUGCCAGCAGCCGCGGUAAUACGUAGGGUGCAAGCGUUAAUCGGAAUUACUGGGCGUAAAGCGUGCGCAGGCGGUUGUGCAAGACAGAUGUGAAAUCCCCGGGCUCAACCUGGGAAUUGCAUUUGUGACUGCACGGCUAGAGUGUGUCAGAGGGGGGUAGAAUUCCACGUGUAGCAGUGAAAUGCGUAGAGAUGUGGAGGAAUACCGAUGGCGAAGGCAGCCCCCUGGGAUAACACUGACGCUCAUGCACGAAAGCGUGGGGAGCAAACAGGAUUAGAUACCCUGGUAGUCCACGCCCUAAACGAUGUCAACUAGUUGUCGGGUCUUAAUUGACUUGGUAACGCAGCUAACGCGUGAAGUUGACCGCCUGGGGAGUACGGUCGCAAGAUUAAAACUCAAAUGAAUUGACGG